rnacentral:rRNA from 1 species
UGGGAUAAUGGAAUAGGACCCUGUCCUCCUAUUUUCAGUUGGUUUUGGCAGCGCGAGGACUAGGGUAAUGAUUAAUAGGGAUAGUUGGGGGCAUUAAUAUUUAAUUGUCAGAGGUGAAAUUCUUGGAUUUAUGAAAGAUUAACUUCUGCGAAAGCAUCUGCCAAGGAUGUUUUCAUUAAUCAAGAACGAAAGUUAGGGGAUCGAAGACGAUCAGAUACCGUCGUAGUCUUAACCAUAAACGAUGCCGACCAGCGAUUAGGAGACGUUGAAUACAAAACACCACCAUCGGUUGCGGUCGUCCUUGGCGUCUCGGUUUCGGCCGGGGCGCGGGGAUGGCUUAGCCCGGUGGCACCGGUGAAUGACUCCCCUAGCAGCUUGUGAGA